rnacentral:rRNA from 1 species
UACGUAGGUGGCGAGCGUUAUUCGGAUUUAUUGGGCGUAAAGGGUUCGUAGGCGGCUAAGUAAGUUUGAUGUGAAAUCUCCAGGCUCAACCUGGAAACUGCAUUGGAUACUGCUUGGCUAGAGUACUGGAGAGGUAAGCGGAAUUCCUGGUGUAGCGGUGGAAUGCGUAGAUAUCAGGAGGAACACCGACGGCGAAGGCAGCUUACUGGACAGUAACUGACGCUGAGGGACGAAAGCUAGGGUAGCGAACAGG